CCAUUGUGUAUUUUCAGUGAUAGUUUUUGCCGCAGCCAGACCUUUUGAUUGAGAAAAAUUAAUAGCUGUAAUUAAUCUCAUCUCAUCAAUAUUUAUCGUUGAUUCGAAUAUUGUUGCAAAACAAUAAUAAUAAAAAAUCCGCUGAUUUUUUGCACUCUGAAGGAUACCUCGGUCAUAUAUUUUCUCUCGAAAUUUCAUCAUCCCUAAUCCGAGAUAAGUCCUGCUAUAAAUUGGUUGCUCCAGAAACCGACACAGUUCUUUACUUAUAUUGGUUCGAAAAUGAAGGUCCUUGUUAUUUUCGCUGCAUUGGCCACUCUGGCUACAGCUUCUUUACUUGGUGGCAAAACAAUCAGUUUACAAGACGAUGGUACUUUAAUCGUUAAUGAUAUUGGAAAAGGCGUCAUUAUUUCUAAACCUAUGGCGAUGGUUCAAAAUAUUCCAGAGAACACUCUUAUGGCCGCCAAUGAUUUACAACUUCAGCAAACAACUCCUGAUAUGACUUUGCUAAGAGGCCAAUUGCCAUGGUGGACGAUGAUCAAAAAAACUCCAAUGGUUAACAUGAUGUUACAUAAAACACCAAAUAUGUUCAGUAUGAAUGGUAUGAUAGGAAUGCAAAAUAUACCUUGGUGGAAGUGGCAGACGACUCCUAUGGGUAUCAAUAAUAUCAACAAUAUACCAAUGAUGGACAAACAAAUAAAAUAUAUAGCUCACGAACAUAUAACACCAAUGAUGCGUUUGCAAGAUGUGACACCAAUGAUGCGUUGGCAAGAUGGAACACCAUUGGUGCAUUCGCAAGAUAUGACACCAAUGAUGCGUUUGCAAGAAAUGGCACCAAUGAUGCGUUUGCAAGAUAUGACACCAAUGAUGCGUUGGCAAGAUGGGACACCAUUGGAGCAUUCGCAAGAUAUGACACCAAUGAUGCGUUUGCAAGACAUGACACCAAUGAUGCGUUUGCAAGGUAUGACACCAAUAAUCCGUUCGCAAGAUAUGACACCAAUGAUGCAUUUGCAAGGCAUGACACCAAUCAUCCGUUCGCAAGAUAUGACACCAGUGAUUCAAUCGCAAAAUCUGAUGCAUUUGCAAGAUAUGACACCAGUGAUGCGUUUGGAAGAUAUGACACCUAAUGAAAUGUUUCACAGCGGUCGUCUUAUGGGAAUAAAUUCAAACUGGCCAAUCAAUCCUAUUGGAAUAAACAACAAUGAUUUCACCAAGAAGAAUGAUUUCUGGAAGAUGUAUAGAAACAAUAUAAACACUUUGAAGGCACAAAGACUUAUGGAAAAUGACCUGUCUCACUGAAAAUGUACAAUUUGUUUCAUCAGUUGUUAACUUUAUUAGCAAUAAAUUCUAAUGAAAACCCAUAAUUUCAAUUCGAUUGAAAAUCACAUGUUUUCUCUCAAGGAGUGACACAUAAAACCAGUAUUUCAAAAUUAAUAUUUCGAUUGAUAUUUGAAAUUUGCCCGCAUUCUCAAUAAUCAAUCUGAAAUAUACAUCUGAUAUUUAUUUAUUCAAUACUUCAAAAAACUACAAAUGGAAUAAUAAAAUUUUUACCUAGUUUCUGGUCAAUUCAUUUUUAAUUUCGGAAUGUAAAGAAAAAGACAUUUGAAAUAUUCGAGGUUUUUGUUUGAGGGGGAGAAGAAUCUCAAGAUAAAUUAAAAAGCAAAGUUGACAAAAUUAGAAGAAAUUAUAUACAUAUACUGUAAUCACGAGAAUGAAAAGAAAUCGUUAGAUAGUAAACGAGAUGAAUGGUUUUUGUUGAUAAACCUCCCUUAGAAAUAUUUUGAAUCAAUUCAUACACCUUGUAUAAUAAACGCGAAUAAUUCCCUGACCUUGUUAUGAAGGUGUAAGUUCCAUCAAAAAUGAUAAGGAAUAUUGAUAUAACUAGAAUUUUUCUGAGUUGCUCUACAAUCAGUUUAUUACUUCUUUCAAUAUUGAACAAAAUAAUGGAAAAUUUGCAUUGGGAAUUGUUUAUCACAAAACAGUUUGUUAUUCACCUAACAGAAUAAAAGUUCAUUUUUAUCAAAGCAUAAAUAUAUUCUUUAAUUAGACUAAGCCACAUCACAUCUCCCGAUUUUGCAAUCAAAUUAUGUCGAUAAGAGAAAAAAUUAUCGAAAUGGUCGUUUUUUAUUGACACUGAACGGAUUGAAAAGCCCUAUAAAACUAGCAAUUAAUUAAGCACCAAUCAGUUCAGUUCUUCAACUCAAUCUGAAAUGAAGCUCUUAGUACUCUUCCUAGCUACGGCAGCUGUUGCCUCAGCUUCUUUAUUCAGCGGAAAGAGAGUUGAUUUCAAAGAAGAUGGAACUAUUAUGAUCCAGGGAAUGAGUGGUAAGCAAGUCGUUAUAAAAAAACCUUUAUAUGGGCUGAGAAACCUUCAAAUUGACGCAACUGGUCCAAAUACUCUAGUCAUAAAAGACCUGAACAACAAUCAGGUUGACACUGAGAGAAAUGUAGAAUAUAAUUCUAAAAAUUAUGAUGACUUCUUAGAAGAGAGGAACAAGCCUGAAUACUAUAACGUUGAUAUUCCCGCUUUCCAUAGGGAAUCUGCAAUGAAUAACCCAUUGACUGAAAAUAAUAACUAUCCAGAAGUAUCAUACCCAGGAAAAUAUAGUUCAGGAUUGAAUGUAUUGAAAGACCAGAACGUUGACCAGUAUUUUUACAACCUUUUUUUCAAGAUGUUCGACAGAGAGAUGGUAAAGAAUAUUCUGAAUCAACAACAAAUGUAUGAUCAGAAAUACAAUAGGCUAGAAUUUAUUGCUACAACUUGGGACUUUGUUUUCACACAAGGUGUUUUCGAUCAACAAUAUUUGAUAAAAAUCAUCAACAACAACAUGCUAAGAACCUUGUUAGUACAACUAGGAUUUUUCGAUAAAGAGGUCCUUGCACAAAUCAUGUACACCUACGAGAACCAAGGAGUUUAUGAUCAAUACUUGUUGCAAAAAUUGGUGAACACCCAGGUAUUGAAAUACUUCUUCAUCGAACAUGGAGUCUCUGUCUAUGAUAUUUUAGGCCAAACCUCUUACAAACAAUACUAUGGUAACAACGAAGGUACCUACGGUCUCAACAACCGUUACAACGGUUACAACAUAUUGGAAAGGAUUGUUAGUGAACCAGUAUGGAGGAAUGUUAUGAUUCAAUAUGGAAUCUUCAACAAAAACAUUUUGGACCAGAUCUUGUACCAAUACAACACACAAGGAGUUUACAAUCAGGUACUUUUGAAGCAGCUGGUCAACAAACAAGCUCUUUACAAUAUUCUGAUUCAAUAUGGUGUGGUUGAUCAAGUUUUAUUGAGGCAAUUCAUCAUCAACGAAAACCUUGGCUUGAACUUUCUCUUCGAAAAUAACUUCUUCAAACAGACCCAACAAAUGACCUUCAAUCAGUUAUCUGGAGUAUAUGGAAACAAUCCUGAAUAUACUGGCAUGCAAAUGUUGAAAAGAAAAUACAGGUCUUUUUUGAAUGAGGAUCCGGACUACGAAUAUAACCCAGGUCUCGGACGCUCUAACACAUUUACUUUCCGUUAUCCACUCAUCAUGGUUUGAAUAUAACUGUAUAUUGUCAACAAUUUUAUCAAUCAACAAAUGCAAUAAUAAAAUAGAAAAAACAUAAAAUUUUGA